UACGUAGGGGGCUAGCGUUGUCCGGGAUCAUUGGGCGUAAAGCGCGCGUAGGCGGCCCGGUAAGUCCGCUGUGAAAGUCAAAGGCUCAACCUUUGAAUGUCAGCGGAUACUGCCAGGCUAGAGUCCGGAAGAGGCGAGUGGAACUCCUGGUGUAGCGGUGGAAUGCGCAGAUAUCAGGAAGAACACCAACGGCGAAGGCAGCUCGCUGGGACGGAACUGACGCUGAGGCGCGAAAGCGUGGGGAGCGAACAGG
rnacentral:rRNA from 1 species